GUGUGUGUGUAAUGUGUGUUUGUCAGUUUGUGUGUGUAUUGUGUGUUUGUCAGUGUGUGUGUGUGUGUGUGUGUGUGUGUGUGUGUGUAGUGUGUUUGUCAGUGUGUGUGUGUGUGUGUAGUGUGUUUGUCAGUGUGUGUAGUGUGUUUGUCAGUGUGUGUGUAUUGUGUGUUUGUCAGUGUGUGUGUGUAGUGUGUGUUUGUCAGUGUGUGUGUGUAGUGUGUGUUUGUCAGUGUGUGUCUGCAGUGUGUGUGUGUAGUGUGUGUUUGUCAGUGUGAGUGUGUAGUGUGUGUUUGUCAGUGUGUGUGUGUGUAGUCUGUGUGUGCAGUGUGUGUUUGUCAGUGUUUGUGUGCAGUGUGUGUUUGUCAGUCUGUGUGUGCGUGUAGUGUAUGUUUGUCAGUGUGUGUGUGUUGUGUGUGUUUGUCAGUGUGUGUGUGUGUGUGUAGUGUGUUUGUCAGUGUGUGUAGUGUGUUUGUCAGUGUGUGUGUAGUGUGUGCUUGUCAGUGUGUGUGUGUAGUGUGUGUUUGUCAGUGUGUGUGUGUAGUGUGUGUUUGUCAGUGUGUGUCUGCAGUGUGUGUGUGUAGUGUGUGUUUGUCAGUGUGUGUUUGUCAGUGUGUGUGUGUAGUGUGUGUUUGUCAGUGUGAGUGUGUAGUGUGUGUUUGUCAGUGUGUGUGUGUGUAGUCUGUGUGUGCAGUGUGUGUUUGUCAGUGUGUGUGUGCAGUGUGUGUUUGUCAGUCUGUGUGUGCGUGUAGUGUAUGUUUGUCAGUGUGUGUGUGUGUGUGUGUGUGUGUGUGUGUGUGUGUGUGUGUGUGUGUGUGUGUGUGUGUGUGUGUGUGUUUGUCAGUGUGUGCGUGUAGUGUGUGUGUAGUGUAUGUUUGUCAGUGUGUGUGUGUGUGUGUAGUGUGUGUUUGUCAGUGUGUGUGUGUGUAGUGUGUGUUUGUCAGUGUGUGUGUGUGUGUGUGUAGUGUAUGUUUGUCAGUGUGUGUGUGUGUGUGUAGUGUAUGUUUGUCAGUGUGUGUGUGUGUGUGUGUGUGUGUGUGUGUGUGUGUGUGUGUGUGUGUGUGUGUGUGUGUGUGUGUGUGUGUGUGUGUAGUGUGUGUGUAGUGUAUGUUUGUCAGUGUGUGUGUGUGUGUAGUGUGUGUUUGUCAGUGUGUGUGUGCAGUGUGUGUCUGCAGUGUGUGUUUGUCCGUGUGCGGUGUGUGUGUGUGUUUGUCAGAAUGUGUAUGUAGUGUGUGUUUGUCAGUGUGUGUGUGUGUGUGUUUGUCAGUGUGUGUGUGUGUAGUGUGUGUUUGUCAGUGUGUGUGUGUGUGUGUGUGUGUGUGUGUGUGUGUUGUGUGUUGGUCAGUGUGUGUGUGUGUAGUGUGUGUUUGUCAGUGUGUGUUUGUCAGUGUGUGUGUGUGUGUGUGUGUAGUGUGUGUUUGUCAGUGUGUGUGUGUAGUGUGUGUUUGUCAGUGUGUGUUUGUCAGUGUGUGUGUGUGUGUGUGUGUGUGUGUGUGUGUGUGUGUAGUGUGUGUUUGUCAGUGUGUGUUUGUCAGUGUGUGUGUGUGUGUGUGUGUGUGUGUGUGUGUGUGUGUGUGUGUGUGUGUGUGUGUGUGUGUGCAGUGUGUGUUUGUCAGUGUGUGUAUGUAAUGUGUGUUUGUCAGUGUGUGUGUGUUUGUAGAGAAAGAGGAAGUGUCUACUAGAACCACCACAGAGAGAACAGACUGAGGACAGACCUUAUUGAAGGUACUGUAACAGGAGUAGUGUAGGGUGUAGUGAAGGUACUGUAACAGGAGUAGUGUAGGGUGUUGUGAAGGUACUGUAACAGGAGUAGUGUAGGGUGUAGUGAAGGUACUGUAACAGGAGUAGUGUAGGAUGUAGUGAAGGUACUGUAACAGGAGUAGUGUAGGGUGUUGUGAAGGUGCUGUAACAGGAGUUGUGUAGUGAAGGUACUGUGACAGGAGUAGUGUAGGGUGUAGUGAAAGUACUGUAACAGGAUUAGUGUAGGGCGUAGUGAAAGUACUGUAACAGGAUUAGUGUAGGGUGUAGUGAAGGUACUGUAACAGGAGUAGUGUAGGGUGUAGUGAAGGUGCUGCAACAGGAGUAGUGUAGGGUGUAGUGAAGGUAGCGUAACAGGAGUAGUGUAGGGUGUAGUGAAGGUACUGUGACAGGAGUAGUGUAGGGUGUAGUGAAGGUACUGUAACAGGAGCAGUGUAGGGUGUAGUGAAGGUACUGUAACAGAAGUAGUGAAGAUACUGUAACAGGAGUAGGUUAGGGUGUAGUGAAGGUACUGUAACAGGAGUAUUGUAGGGUGUAGUGAAGGUACUGUAACAGGAGUAGUGUAGGGUGUAGUGAAGGUACUGUAACAGGAGUAGUGUAGGGUGUAGUGAAGGUACUGUAACAGGAGUAGUGUAGGGUGUAGUGAAAGUACUGUGACAGGGGUAGUGUAGGGUGUAGUGAAGGUACUGUAACAGGAGUAGUGUAGGGUGUAGUGAAGGUACUGUUACAGGAGUAGUGUAGGGUGUAGUGAAAGUACUGUGACAGGGGUAGUGUAGGGUGUAGUGAAGGUACUGUAACAGGAGUAGUGUAGGGUGUAGUGAAGGUACUGUUACAAGAGUAAGAUUAGUGGUGCCAGCCUUUUUCGUUGGUAACCAACCUUCGUUGUGUUUUUACUGUAGCAAGGCAAACUUAAUUUUGUAGUGAGGUAGCCUUGCUUCUAUCGGACGGUACCUUCCCUCCCAUAUGCCGCUGAAAGGGUGAGCCUUUGAAAAUCAUCUGUAUCCACCUGUUUGUCAGUCAUUUUGAGACGAAGUUUCAUGAAAACCUUGAUUUUAUCCUCCGUGGACUGAUAGUUGUAGUUUUCAUCCUCCUUUAUUUUCAGUAUGAGAAUAUAAUUCUUCAUACGUCUGCACUUCUGAUCAAGUCAUUCCACUUUCAUUGUUUUAUGAUCAUACCGUAGCCUCUCUGUAGUGGAGGUCAGGGAGUCCACAGUCAUUUCAAUAUCUUAUUUUAGGCUCCUAUUUCAUCAUUUUAUUGCUGUAAUCCCUUGAUGGUUUUAGGGCCUCGAACCCCUCUAGAAACCCAGGUUUUUAACUGAAAGCUCAUGCUUGUCAUCAAUGCCCUGUCUUCUGCUGACAUUGUUAUAUUCAGAAGUUUACAGGUGGCUUCCGGUCAGGUCCCUGGAGGAGAGGUCUGCUCUGCUCUCUUCAAUGUGUAUGAUUCAUGUUGG
rnacentral:lncRNA from 1 species